CGGGAAAGGUAAAAGGAUUCAGUGAAGUACGUUCGACUCCUCGAAUAAGAGUCGAAGCAGAAAGGGAGUUGAGCCGGGUUCGACGCCUCGAAUAAAGGGGUCGAGGCAGGAAGAGUUGAGCUGAAGAGAAAUGACACGGAGUGAAUGUAAGGGAGAGGGAGUUAGUUACCUUCCAACCCAUAUAUCAAGCAGUACAACAAGAGCAGCGAGAACAAGUAUAACCAGAACAAUAGCAGGCUCGAACAGUUGCAUUAAGAGCCUCGCUUUCUCAAGUAAGUAAAGGAGUGUAUGACAGUAAGACUUCUGAGCUCUAGCACCGAGGUAAAUACAGUGCACCGAGGUGCAUACAGUGAGUGACUGAGCACAUAAGCAAACAUGGUGUAUUGUGGAGCAUGGCAUUGGACUACUCAAGCCAAGGUUCCGUGUUCUCCAGGGAGAAGUUUGCUUGAACCCAUCAAAGACCUGCCAAGUGAUCACUGCAUGUGGAAUUCUUCAUAACAUAUACAUGAGAUCUAAGUGGUCACUGCCAAGCCCUUUCUUCUGCUUCGGCUGGUGUGGAACUGUCCCUGAGACCAUCAAGUACUUCCUCCCUCACCAUUAAGCCUGCUUAUCUUCCUGCUGGUGGCCUCCCUCCCACCAUAACCUGCUGCUGUCCUGCCUCACCUGUGCCUGACUGAGGAAGACCUGUAAGCUGCUGGCAGACCUGUCAUACUCCUGCAGGACUACCUGAGGGCUCAUAAGUAGCAACACAUCUUCACAGAAGAAAACUUUCAAUAUAUGUAUUUUUCAUAUUUGUCAUUAGGAUAAUAAAGUACAAAUGAUGUUUGA
rnacentral:lncRNA from 1 species